AAGUAAUAAAGGAGUUCAUAUUUUUUACACACAAAGAUAAAAAAAUGGCUGAAAUGUUCAAGUUUUUUUAUACUAUGAUCAUUUUAGUUUCCCUAUUUCUUGUUGUAUCCUUUUCUAAUGGGUAUCCUAUAGGACAUGCCUGAACAACACUAUCAUUAACAAGAAUAGAAGUGGAAAAUUAUUCGCUCACCUCUGCUAUGGUGUUCCUGAAAGUGUGUUGGAUUAUAAUUUAUGUAUAAGUUAUGUUCUAAGGAUCUGAUAUUGUGACGUCAGGGCUGGUUUUAAUAAUCUAGGGUUGAAUUAUAUUUUUUUUAUCUUUAAAAAAUACUAUGUAGGUUAUUGUAUUAUGAUGAUAAAUUAAAGCAUUUAGAAGCCAAAAUAUUUUAUUUCAAAUUA